rnacentral:rRNA from 1 species
AGUAACACGUGGGGAACCUGCCCCAUAGUCUGGGAUACCACUUGGAAACAGGUGCUAAUACCGGAUAAGAAAGCAGAUCGCAUGAUCAGCUUUUUAAAAGGCGGCGUAAGCUGUCGCUAUGGGAUGGCCCCGCGGUGCAUUAGCUAGUUGGUAAGGUAAAGGCUUACCAAGGCGAUGAUGCAUAGCCGAGUUGAGAGACUGAUCGGGCCACGUUGGGACUGAGACACGGCCCAAACUCCUACGGGAGGCAGAGUU